AUGAACGCUGGCGGCGUGCCUAAUACCUGCAAGUCGAGCGAACAGACGAGGAGCUUGCUCCUUUGACGUUAGCGGCGGACGGGUGAGUAACACGUAGGUAACCUACCUAUAAGACUGGGAUAACUUCGGGAAACCGGAGCUAAUACCGGAUAAUAUUUCGAACCGCAUGGUUCGAUAGUGAAAGAUGGCUUUGCUAUCACUUAUAGAUGGACCUGCGCCGUAUUAGCUAGUUGGUAAGGUAACGGCUUACCAAGGCAACGAUACGUAGCCGACCUGAGAGGGUGAUCGGCCACACUGGAACUGAGACACGGUCCAGACUCCUACGGGAGGCAGCAGUAGGGAAUCUUCCGCAAUGGGCGAAAGCCUGACGGAGCAACGCCGCGUGAGUGAUGAAGGUCUUCGGAUCGUAAAACUCUGUUAUUAGGGAAGAACAAACGUGUAAGUAACUGUGCACGUCUUGACGGUACCUAAUCAGAAAACCACGGCUAACUACGU
rnacentral:rRNA from 1 species